GACAGAGGUCCCGAGCGUUAGGCGGAAUCACUGGGCUUAAAGCGUGCGUAGGCGGUUGAUUAAGUCUGCUGUGAAAGCCCUGGGCUCAACCUGGGAACUGCAGUGGAUACUGGUCAGCUAGAGUGUGAUAGAGGAUGGUGGAAUUCCCGGUGUAGCGGUGAAAUGCGUAGAGAUCGGGAGGAACACCAGUGGCGAAGGCGGCCAUCUGGAUCAACACUGACGCUGAGGCACGAAAGCGUGGGGAGCGAACAGG
rnacentral:rRNA from 1 species